rfam:Sporanaerobacter sp. PP17-6a isolate PP176A genome assembly, contig: PP17-6a_contig1
UCCACAGCGACAUGGAAUCUGAAGGAAACUAGAGGCAAAAUCCCGAACUGGCGAACAGAAGCCACAUCAGGGUGAAAUAAAGUGGAUGAGUUUACAUAACAAAACAAAGUCCAAUACUACCCGAACCUUAUACAGUAAAUGUGACGGUUACUUGUGAGGAAGGCCGUUGUU